rnacentral:rRNA from 1 species
CCUACGGGGGACAGCAGUGAGGAAUAUUGGUCAAUGGCCGGAAGGCUGAACCAGCCAUGCCGCGUGAAGGUCAGUGCCCUAUGGGCGUUAAACUUCUUUUGUGCGGGAGCAAUAAUGGUCACGUGUGGCCAGACGAGAGUACCGUACGAAUAAGCAUCGGCUAACUCCGUGCCAGCAGCCGCGGUAAUACGGGGGAUGCAAGCGUUAUCCGGAUUUAUUGGGUUUAAAGGGUGCGUAGGCUGUGAGGUAAGUCAGCGGUGAAAUGCCCCCGCUCAACGGGGUGAAGUGCCAUUGAUACUGCCUGGCUGGAAUGCGGAUGCCGUGGGAGGAAUGUGUGGUGUAGCGGUGAAAUGCAUAGAUAUCACACAGAACACCGAUUGCGAAGGCAUCUCACGAAUCCGCGAUUGACGCUGAUGCACGAAAGCGUGGGUAUCAAACAGGAUUAGAUACCCUGGUAGUC